AGCAGUGGGGAAUUUUGGACAAUGGGCGCAAGCCUGAUCCAGCAAUGCCGCGUGAGUGAAGAAGGCCUUCGGGUUGUAAAGCUCUUUUGUCAGGGAAGAAACGGUGAGGGCUAAUAUCCUUUGCUAAUGACGGUACCUGAAGAAUAAGCACCGGCUAACUACGUGCCAGCAGCCGCGGUAAUACGUAGGGUGCAAGCGUUAAUCGGAAUUACUGGGCGUAAAGCGUGCGCAGGCGGUUUUGUAAGUUUGUCGUGAAAGCCCCGGGCUCAACCUGGGAAUUGCGAUGAAGACUGCAAGGCUUGAAUCUGGCAGAGGGGGGUAGAAUUCCACGUGUAGCAGUGAAAUGCGUAGAGAUGUGGAGGAACACCGAUGGCGAAAGCAGCCCCCUGGGUCAAGAUUGACGCUCAUG
rnacentral:rRNA from 1 species